GCGAGGGUGGCGGAACUGGUAGACGCGCUGGAUUUAGGUUCCAGUGUCUUACGGCGUGAGGGUUCGACUCCCUCCUCUCGUACCA
rnacentral:tRNA from 2 species